UUAAGCGACUAAGCGUACACGGUGGAUGCCCUGGCAGUCAGAGGCGAUGAAGGACGUGCUAAUCUGCGAUAAGCGUCGGUGAGGUGAUAUGAACCGUUAUAACCGGCGAUUUCCGAAUGGGGAAACCCAGUGUGUUUCGACACACUAUCAUUAACUGAAUCCAUAGGUUAAUGAGGCGAACCGGGGGAACUGAAACAUCUAAGUACCCCGAGGAAAAGAAAUCAACCGAGAUUCCCCCAGUAGCGGCGAGCGAACGGGGAGGAGCCCAGAGCCUGAAUCAGUGUGUGUGUUAGUGGAAGCGUCUGGAAAGGCGUGCGAUACAGGGUGACAGCCCCGUACACAAAAAUGCACAUACUGUGAGCUCGAUGAGUAGGGCGGGACACGUGGUAUCCUGUCUGAAUAUGGGGGGACCAUCCUCCAAGGCUAAAUACUCCUGACUGACCGAUAGUGAACCAGUACCGUGAGGGAAAGGCGAAAAGAACCCCGGCGAGGGGAGUGAAAAAGAACCUGAAACCGUGUACGUACAAGCAGUGGGAGCCUCUUAAUGGGGUGACUGCGUACCUUUUGUAUAAUGGGUCAGCGACUUAUAUUCUGUAGCAAGGUUAACCGAAUAGGGGAGCCGAAGGGAAACCGAGUCUUAACUGGGCGUUAAGUUGCAGGGUAUAGACCCGAAACCCGGUGAUCUAGCCAUGGGCAGGUUGAAGGUUGGGUAACACUAACUGGAGGACCGAACCGACUAAUGUUGAAAAAUUAGCGGAUGACUUGUGGCUGGGGGUGAAAGGCCAAUCAAACCGGGAGAUAGCUGGUUCUCCCCGAAAGCUAUUUAGGUAGCGCCUCGUGAAUUCAUCUCCGGGGGUAGAGCACUGUUUCGGCAAGGGGGUCAUCCCGACUUACCAACCCGAUGCAAACUGCGAAUACCGGAGAAUGUUAUCACGGGAGACACACGGCGGGUGCUAACGUCCGUCGUGAAGAGGGAAACAACCCAGACCGCCAGCUAAGGUCCCAAAGUCAUGGUUAAGUGGGAAACGAUGUGGGAAGGCCCAGACAGCCAGGAUGUUGGCUUAGAAGCAGCCAUCAUUUAAAGAAAGCGUAAUAGCUCACUGGUCGAGUCGGCCUGCGCGGAAGAUGUAACGGGGCUAAACCAUGCACCGAAGCUGCGGCAGCGACACUAUGUGUUGUUGGGUAGGGGAGCGUUCUGUAAGCCUGUGAAGGUGGCCUGUGAGGGUUGCUGGAGGUAUCAGAAGUGCGAAUGCUGACAUAAGUAACGAUAAAGCGGGUGAAAAGCCCGCUCGCCGGAAGACCAAGGGUUCCUGUCCAACGUUAAUCGGGGCAGGGUGAGUCGACCCCUAAGGCGAGGCCGAAAGGCGUAGUCGAUGGGAAACAGGUUAAUAUUCCUGUACUUGGUGUUACUGCGAAGGGGGGACGGAGAAGGCUAUGUUGGCCGGGCGACGGUUGUCCCGGUUUAAGCGUGUAGGCUGGUUUUCCAGGCAAAUCCGGAAAACCAAGGCUGAGGCGUGAUGACGAAGCACUACGGUGCUGAAGCGACAAAUGCCCUGCUUCCAGGAAAAGCCUCUAAGCAUCAGGUAACAUCAAAUCGUACCCCAAACCGACACAGGUGGUCAGGUAGAGAAUACCAAGGCGCUUGAGAGAACUCGGGUGAAGGAACUAGGCAAAAUGGUGCCGUAACUUCGGGAGAAGGCACGCUGAUAUGUAGGUGAAGCGACUUGCUCGUGGAGCUGAAAUCAGUCGAAGAUACCAGCUGGCUGCAACUGUUUAUUAAAAACACAGCACUGUGCAAACACGAAAGUGGACGUAUACGGUGUGACGCCUGCCCGGUGCCGGAAGGUUAAUUGAUGGGGUUAGCGGUAACGCGAAGCUCUUGAUCGAAGCCCCGGUAAACGGCGGCCGUAACUAUAACGGUCCUAAGGUAGCGAAAUUCCUUGUCGGGUAAGUUCCGACCUGCACGAAUGGCGUAAUGAUGGCCAGGCUGUCUCCACCCGAGACUCAGUGAAAUUGAACUCGCUGUGAAGAUGCAGUGUACCCGCGGCAAGACGGAAAGACCCCGUGAACCUUUACUAUAGCUUGACACUGAACAUUGAGCCUUGAUGUGUAGGAUAGGUGGGAGGCUUUGAAGUGUGGACGCCAGUCUGCAUGGAGCCGACCUUGAAAUACCACCCUUUAAUGUUUGAUGUUCUAACGUUGGCCCGUAAUCCGGGUUGCGGACAGUGUCUGGUGGGUAGUUUGACUGGGGCGGUCUCCUCCUAAAGAGUAACGGAGGAGCACGAAGGUUGGCUAAUCCUGGUCGGACAUCAGGAGGUUAGUGCAAUGGCAUAAGCCAGCUUGACUGCGAGCGUGACGGCGCGAGCAGGUGCGAAAGCAGGUCAUAGUGAUCCGGUGGUUCUGAAUGGAAGGGCCAUCGCUCAACGGAUAAAAGGUACUCCGGGGAUAACAGGCUGAUACCGCCCAAGAGUUCAUAUCGACGGCGGUGUUUGGCACCUCGAUGUCGGCUCAUCACAUCCUGGGGCUGAAGUAGGUCCCAAGGGUAUGGCUGUUCGCCAUUUAAAGUGGUACGCGAGCUGGGUUUAGAACGUCGUGAGACAGUUCGGUCCCUAUCUUCCGUGGGCGCUGGAGAACUGAGGGGGGCUGCUCCUAGUACGAGAGGACCGGAGUGGACGCAUCACUGGUGUUCGGGUUGUCAUGCCAAUGGCACUGCCCGGUAGCUAAAUGCGGAAGAGAUAAGUGCUGAAAGCAUCUAAGCACGAAACUUGCCCCGAGAUGAGUUCUCCCUGAGACUUAGAGUCUCCUGAAGGAACGUUGAAGACGACGACGUUGAUAGGCCGGGUGUGUAAGCGCAGCGAUGCGUUGAGCUAACCGGUACUAAUGAACCGUGAGGCUUAACCUU
rnacentral:rRNA from 1 species